UCAUGAUGAACGCUAGCUACAGGCUUAACACAUGCAAGUCGAGGGGCAGCAUUUUAGUUUGCUUGCAAACUGAAGAUGGCGACCGGCGCACGGGUGAGUAACACGUAUCCAACCUGCCGAUAACUCCGGAAUAGCCUUUCGAAAGAAAGAUUAAUACCGGAUAGCAUACGAAUAUCGCAUGAUAUUUUUAUUAAAGAAUUUCGGUUAUCGAUGGGGAUGCGUUCCAUUAGUUUGUUGGCGGGGUAACGGCCCACCAAGACUACGAUGGAUAGGGGUUCUGAGAGGAAGGUCCCCCACAUUGGAACUGAGACACGGUCCAAACUCCUACGGGAGGCAGCAGUGAGGAAUAUUGGUCAAUGGGCGAGAGCCUGAACCAGCCAAGUAGCGUGAAGGAUGAAGGCUCUAUGGGUCGUAAACUUCUUUUAUAUGGGAAUAAAGUUUUCCACGUGUGGAAUUUUGUAUGUACCAUAUGAAUAAGGAUCGGCUAACUCCGUGCCAGCAGCCGCGGUAAUACGGAGGAUCCGAGCGUUAUCCGGAUUUAUUGGGUUUAAAGGGAGCGUAGGUGGAUUGUUAAGUCAGUUGUGAAAGUUUGCGGCUCAACCGUAAAAUUGCAGUUGAAACUGGCAGUCUUGAGUACAGUAGAGGUGGGCGGAAUUCGUGGUGUAGCGGUGAAAUGCUUAGAUAUCACGAAGAACUCCGAUUGCGAAGGCAGCUCACUAGACUGUCACUGACACUGAUGCUCGAAAGUGUGGGUAUCAAACAGGAUUAGAUACCCUGGUAGUCCACACAGUAAACGAUGAAUACUCGCUGUUUGCGAUAUACAGUAAGCGGCCAAGCGAAAGCAUUAAGUAUUCCACCUGGGGAGUACGCCGGCAACGGUGAAACUCAAAGGAAUUGACGGGGGCCCGCACAAGCGGAGGAACAUGUGGUUUAAUUCGAUGAUACGCGAGGAACCUUACCCGGGCUUAAAUUGCAACAGAAUAUAUUGGAAACAGUAUAGCCGUAAGGCUGUUGUGAAGGUGCUGCAUGGUUGUCGUCAGCUCGUGCCGUGAGGUGUCGGCUUAAGUGCCAUAACGAGCGCAACCCUUAUCUUUAGUUACUAACAGGUCAUGCUGAGGACUCUAGAGAGACUGCCGUCGUAAGAUGUGAGGAAGGUGGGGAUGACGUCAAAUCAGCACGGCCCUUACGUCCGGGGCUACACACGUGUUACAAUGGGGGGUACAGAAGGCGGCUACCUGGUGACAGGAUGCUAAUCCCAAAAACCUCUCUCAGUUCGGAUCGAAGUCUGCAACCCGACUUCGUGAAGCUGGAUUCGCUAGUAAUCGCGCAUCAGCCAUGGCGCGGUGAAUACGUUCCCGGGCCUUGUACACACCGCCCGUCAAGCCAUGAAAGCCGGGGGUACCUGAAGUACGUAACCGCAAGGAGCGUCCUAGGGUAAAACUGGU
rnacentral:rRNA from 1 species